GCGGCGUAGCUCAGUUGGUUAGAGCAUGGGAUUCAUAAGCCCAGGGUCGUCGGUUCGAUUCCGACCNNGUA
rnacentral:tRNA from 1 species